rnacentral:rRNA from 1 species
UCAGCUUGUUGUGAGGUAAUGCUCACCAAGGCGACGACGGGUAGCCGGCCUGAGAGGUGACCGGCCACACUGGGACUGAGACACGGCCCAGACUCCUACGGGAGGCAGCAGUGGGGAAUAUUGCACAAUGGGCGAAAGCCUGAUGCAGCGACGCCGCGUGAGGGAUGACGGCCUUCGGGUUGUAAACCUCUUUCAGCAGGGAAGAAGCCACAAGUGACGGUACCUGCAGAAGAAGCGCCGGCUAACUACGUGCCAGCAGCCGCGGUAAUACGUAGGGCGCAAGCGUUGUCCGGAAUUAUUGGGCGUAAAGAGCUCGUAGGCGGUUUGUCGCGUCUGCUGUGAAAGCCCGGGGCUUAACCCCGGGUGUGCAGUGGGUACGGGCAGACUAGAGUGCAGUAGGGGAGACUGGAAUUCCUGGUGUAGCGGUGGAAUGCGCAGAUAUCAGGAGGAACACCGAUGGCGAAGGCAGGUCUCUGGGCUGUUACUGACGCUGAGGAGCGAAAGCAUGGGGAGCGAACAGGAUUAGAUACCCUGGUAGUCCAUGCCGUAAACGUUGGGCACUAGGUGUGGGGGACAUUCCACGUUUUCCGCGCCGUAGCUAACGCAUUAAGUGCCCCGCCUGGGGAGUACGGCCGCAAGGCUAAAACUCAAAGGAAUUGACGGGGGCCCGCACAAGCGGCGGAGCAUGCGGAUUAAUUCGAUGCAACGCGAAGAACCUUACCAAGGCUUGACAUAUACCGGAUCGUUCCAGAGAUGGUUCUUCCCCUUUGGGGUCGGUAUACAGGUGGUGCAUGGUUGUCGUCAGCUCGUGUCGUGAGAUGUUGGGUUAAGUCCCGCAACGAGCGCAACCCUCGUUCCAUGUUGCCAGCACGUGAUGGUGGGGACUCAUGGGAGACUGCCGGGGUCAACUCGGAGGAAGGUGGGGAUGACGUCAAAUCAUCAUGCCCCUUAUGUCUUGGGCUUCACGCAUGCUACAAUGGCCGGUACAAAGGGUUGCGAUACUGUGAGGUGGAGCUAAUCCCAAAAAGCCGGUCUCAGUUCGGAUUGAGGUCUGCAACUCGACCUCAUGAAGUCGGAGUCGCUAGUAAUCGCAGAUCAGCAACGCUGCGGUGAAUACGUUCCCGGGCCUUGUACACACCGCCCGUCAAGUCACGAAAGUCGGUAACACCCGAAGCCGGUGGCCCAACCCUUGUGAGGGAGCCGUCGA